rnacentral:rRNA from 1 species
AUAGCUGGGCGGGCAGCUACACAUGCAGUCGAGCGGCAUGCAACGGGAGCUUGCUCCCUGAUUCAAGCGGCGGACGGGUGAGUAAUGCCUAGGAAUCUGCCUGGUAGUGGGGGACAACGUUUCGAAAGGAACGCUAAUACCGCAUACGUCCUACGGGAGAAAGCAGGGGACCUUCGGGCCUUGCGCUAUCAGAUGAGCCUAGGUCGGAUUAGCUAGUUGGUGAGGUAACGGCUCACCAAGGCGACGAUCCGUAACUGGUCUGAGAGGAUGAUCAGUCACACUGGAACUGAGACACGGUCCAGACUCCUACGGGAGGCAGCAGUGGGGAAUAUUGGACAAUGGGCGAAAGCCUGAUCCAGCCAUGCCGCGUGUGUGAAGAAGGUCUUCGGAUUGUAAAGCACUUUAGGUUGGGAGGAAGGGCAGUAAGCUAAUACCUUGCUGUUUUGACGUUACCGACAGAAUAAGCACCGGCUAACUUCGUGCCAGCAGCCGCGGUAAUACGAAGGGUGCAAGCGUUAAUCGGAAUUACUGGGCGUAAAGCGCGCGUAGGUGGUUUGUUAAGUUGGAUGUGAAAGCCCCGGGCUCAACCUGGGAACUGCAUCCAAAACUGGCAAGCUAGAGUAUGGCAGAGGGUGGUGGAAUUUCCUGUGUAGCGGUGAAAUGCGUAUAUAUAGGAAGGAACACCAGUGGCGAAGGCGACCACCUGGGCUAAUACUGACACUGAGGUGCGAAAGCGUGGGGAGCAAACAGGAUUAGAUACCCUGGUAGUCCACGCCGUAAACGAUGUCGACUAGCCGUUGGGGAUCCUUGACAUCUUAGUGGCGCAUCUCACGCAUUAUGUCGACCGCCUGGAGAGUACGGCCGCAAGGUAUAAAACUCAAAUGAAUUGACGGGAGGCCCGCACAACGCGGUGGAGCAUGUGUUUUAUUUCUGAGCAACGCGAACACCUAUACCACGUCUUGACGUGUGGAGUAUCUUACAGAUAUGGAUGGGUGCCUUCGGGAACUCUGACACAGUGCUGCAUGCUGUCGUCAGCUCGUGUCGUGAGAUGUGGGUAGUCCCGUACGAGCGCACCCUUGUCCUAGUACUAGCCACGUGAUGGUGGGCACUCGUAAGCAGAC